CGGCGGGGGGCGGGGCGAGAGGACGCCGGAAACGAGGCCCCGCCUCCGCCCCGCCCCCCCGCACCUCCCUGUACCUAGUGCGUCAAGUUUGAGGACGCGCAGGUGACCGGCGCAGACCGUGCGCACCGAGGCAUAUGUCUUGCCCUUGCCUGGAGGUUAGGAGGGGCAAGCUUGCGUACGCAAACCCGCCUUUCACCUGGUUCCUCUUCCUUACGGGUUCCACACCUGCAGUGAGCUGCUAGGCUGUCGUUUUAAGAAUGUCCUGAUGAUGGUGUAGUCGAGAAGUCGCGUCCGACUCUUGUGAUCCCAUGGACCAUCGGUGAAAACUUUGUCACUGGACUGUAUAAUCUUGAAAUCUCCUCCAGCUCUCAGUUGGUGCCCACCAAGACUUCACUGCCCCAUGGCCCAGGCACAGACAUCUGUUCCUUUACUCACUCAUCAGUUUCUGCUCCCACUGUGUGCUAGUUUAUAGUUUUAGGUUCUAUUGUUGGGGCCAGCGUGAAGCAAGCAGGAAAGACUCCGACUUGAAGCCUGCCACCCAUCUUAGAAACAAGCCGGGAACUGGGCCUGAACCCUGCCCAAGAGUGAGGAAACCGUUGCUAGUGAAAACCAGGUCUCCUGGAGACUCCCCUUACGACGACAAAGGGAGAUGGUAGUUGAGGUCAGGCUGCCCCUGUUAGAUUAACCAUGGAGACAUCCCCCCUUGAUGUGUAAUCAUCCCCCCCGCCCCCGGCUUUAACCUUAAUUGUUUGUUCUCCUAGUGCUUACUUGUUGUAAAGCUCAAUCAUAUACAACAAAAAGGUUGCUAACAUGUAACAAGUCACAUAGUCUGGGCUAUAAAACUGUGUCUCUCAGAAACAUCAGGGUCCUUGUUGGGAACUGAUUCCCCUUGGACCCGCUGGCCUAAUAAACUGUACUCCAC
ensembl:lncRNA